rnacentral:rRNA from 1 species
GACGAACGCUGGCGGCGUGCUUAACACAUGCAAGUCGAGCGGAAAGGCCCUUUCGGGGGUACUCGAGCGGCGAACGGGUGAGUAACACGUGAGUAAUCUGCCCUUGGCUUUGGGAUAACCACCGGAAACGGUGGCUAAUACCGGAUAUGACGCGCCCCGGCAUCGGGGGGGGUGGAAAGUUGUUUCGGCCAGGGAUGUGCUCGCGGCCUAUCAGCUUGUUGGGGGGGUAAUGGCCUACCAAGGCUUCGACGGGUAGCCGGCCGGAGAGGGUGACCGGCCACACUGGGACUGAGACACGGCCCAGACUCCUACGGGAGGCAGCAGUGGGGAAUAUUGGACAAUGGGCGGAAGCCUGAUCCAGCAACGCCGCGUGAGGGAUGACGGCCUUCGGGUUGUAAACCUCUUUCAGUACCGACGAAGCGCCGAUGAUGGUGGUGACGGUAGGUACAGAAGAAGCACCGGCCAACUACGUGCCAGCCGCCGCCGUAA